CGGCCCGUUAAAAAAUCAUCUCCGCCGACGGCGGCGGCCCAGGCGGCUCAAGGCGACGAUACCACGCAUGGCGGAUGCCUCUCCUCUUCCACCGCCUCGCCGGUCACGUUCGAGGCGUCUCAUGGCUGGUACCCCAAAGUCCUGAAGGUGGACAAGGACGGGUUGGAGGCGCGUGCGGCGGCGGUCUCGCUGGAGCCGGACAAGGAAGGGAUGGACGCGCUAUUGGAGUUGGUGCUGGCUUCUUCUCCAUGUGCUCCUCCCCCGCCUCCCCGCCGGCGGCGGUCUCCAAGCGGCGACACUGUCUCCCGCACGGACCCGCCUUUAGGACCAUGCCGCUCCACAUGGACGUCUUGUAUCGCGCGGUCGCGCCGGCGAGAAGCUCCAGCUAGAUCCCGGGUCAGCACUUUUUUACUCACGCAUCAUUUCCAGCGGAUCCUCUCAGUUACACUGAUGAAAUUUCUUCAGGGCGUGUCCACCUACUGUCCUCAUCUGAUUUCCAUUGGAAAAUUAUCUAAGUACUAAAACAAUAUUGUUAAAGAAACCAGAUGUAGGUGUUGUUUGCUUGCUUGGAUUUGAUAAUUAGAACUUCCCAUGCAAAUAGCAAAUCAAUGACACAAUAGAGAACAGGGGAUCGAGUAGGGGCAAAGUGGCAUAUAAGGGACAAGUUAACAAGCCAGACCGAAUUUAUAAACGGUUGUAGUUGAUCUUGUAAGUUCCCCUCCGCGACCCUCUCUGGUUUACACUUCUAUAAGGAAAUACGUGGUCUGUGGUCUGUAGUUUGUAUUUUCCUUGUUCAUGCUAUUCUGGAGGAGGUGGAAUUUUGGAUGUGGGCAUCAAAUUAAUUAGCGGUAGACAAUAUAUGUAUAUACAUGAAAAAUGUUCUGUGAUGGUUAUGCAUCUAGCCGCUUACACCACUUGUACCUUUUUCUGAAACUCUAUACUAGAACAUAUGCUAAUUUUCUCUUUCUGUCUCUUUGUAUAUCGCCGGAAGUUGCCAGGUUUCAAAAUGUGGCUUUUUUGUGGGCAAUCUAGAGAAGUAAUAGCUUGAAGGGUUUUGAACCACCUGACCUGUGGAACCAUCAGGUUCAGCUAGAACAUCUUGAAAGACAAAGCUUUAGGACAAAAUUAAUAUUAACAUUGCAGAUUAUGUAAUUCACUUGCACAUAUUUCAUGUUGUUGUAUGUCCUAUUAAUUUCUUGCAUGCUCAUGAUUCAUAAUUCAUACCAUGUGUCUGUGCUAAACUUGGUGCACCGGGUAAUGAUUAACAUUUCUCCAUUACUGGUAUAUAUAACGAAGUAUGGAUCAGUUGUUGUGUAUGCCUGGGGCGUUGAUUUGGCCGCCCCUGACCAGCGAGGAGCAUGUAGAACAAAUGAUGCAAGCUCAUAAUAGGAGAAAGAAAUGUGACUUGUACGUUGUCAGGAAUGGUCCACCCUCAGAUAAUAUUGAUGAUGGCAUGAGUGAAGAGAGUCAAUUCUACCGAACAUCGAUUCAUGGGCCGAUAGAGGCAAGUCGGACAUGGACAAAGAUGGGACCUCGUCACGAAUGAAGCAACUAGCACUUAGCACUCACAAGAAGGCGUGGCCUUUUAGCAGUUGUGACGCAGUAGGGCAAAAUCAUUCGGUUUCACAAAGAACUUAAUAACCAGGAUGAUGUUGGAUGGUUUUUUUUAGUACGCUUUGAGUUUUUUUUUAAUUUUGUCAUUGCUCUGACCUCGCCGAAGGGGUAUCCUUAGUGACAUUUAGCUCAGCUUUUGUUCUCCUGAAGGAUGUAACAAUACCAACAUUUUAAUCUAUCAUAUCAUCAUAUCAUUUUUUGUUUUCUCGAA